UACGUAGGGUGCGAGCGUUAAUCGGAAUUACUGGGCGUAAAGCGUGCGCAGGCGGUUCGUUAUGUCCGCUGUGAAAGCCCCGAGCUUAACUUGGGAAUGGCAUUGGAAACUGGCGGGCUGGAGUGCGGCAGAGGGGGGUGGAAUUCCACGUGUAGCAGUGAAAUGCGUAGAGAUGUGGAGGAACACCGAUGGCGAAGGCAGCCCCCUGGGCCGACACUGACGCUCAGGCACGAAAGCGUGGGGAGCAAACAGG
rnacentral:rRNA from 1 species